CGUGGACAUGGGAGGGAAAAAAGCCCUGGGGGUCCAAGUGCCAGUGGCUGCCAGUGGCUGCCCACCCAACCUGGACUUGAUUCUAGGCUGAAGAAGAAGACUCUUAACCUGGAUCGGCCAGAAGUCGGAUCGCAACGGGAGCGCCAGCGUGUGCGAUGCUCAGAAAGAAAGUAGGAGGGCCGGCUGAGAGGAAGCAGCGACACGAGCUGCGCACCUUCUCCGCCGCGAGCGGCGGACCUUCGGAGCUCCGCCCUCAGCUGGCACCGCCCGCGCGCUCCCGCAACUUUCAUUCUCCCGCGAGCGCCUCUCGCCACUCGGUCGGACAGGCGCGCGCCCCCACGGCACGGCGCGACACUCUGCGAGCGCGCGACGUUCUUCCCACAGCUGGCUGGCGCGAGACGCAGGAGGACAUGCGGCAGCGGAGCGACGCGUAGCCGCGCAGCAGAGUCCGUCUGAGCCAACUAGUCUAGUGUCCCGCAGCAUGGCGGGCCCCCCCCUGGGGACCCUGCUCCUCCUCGGCCUCUUCCUCCAGGAAGGCAUGAAAGCAGCCGACGACUCGGACUCGACCCGCACGCCUCCCGCUUCAAGUGACGAUUCCAAUCCGAGUUCCUGCAGGUUCGUGGGAGGACGCAUCUUGUUAAGGGACGGUUUCCCGAGUUUUGUGAGCUCUGUUAUCAGGAGGAACCGGCGGCAUCUCGGCAGAAGUGUGUCGGCAGAAAAACUCUUGCCGCGUUUUCGGUUCUUUGGUCACAGCCUGGAACUUGAAACGAACACAGAGCAUCUUUCAAUAAAACGAGGACAGCAAAGUGUAGCUAUAAAUAAAGACGUUUGAAAAUGAAUUAGUAACGGCUCGGCUUUCAACAUCAAGUGUUCCCAUUGAGCAGAGCCCAUCGGCUUGAUAAUAGAAAUGAUUUACGAUAAUUAAUAUAAAAGAGUGAAACGCGACCAUAACAUGCGUCUGACAAACGAAAAAUUUUAUUAGUCCGUUAGGUUUAAAUUUGGCCUGUAUUUCAUGUUCAAAGUGGCUGUUGUGUUUCGCAGUGUGACUGGUCCUCGCUAUGAAGAGCCAGUGGCAGUCAAAUCAUGACAUAUGGUAUCAUUUUCGUUCAUCAAUAACUAUCAUGUUGAUGAACACAAAUAUUUGUGUCUAAAUGCAGCGCCUCAAAUUUGCUAAAAAAGAAAAAAAGUGACAGAAACAAGGUUCUGAUCCUGGAUUUUUGAAAUUUUUUUUAACGUUAUGUGACGCGAUACUAAAGAGUUGGGAUUUCACUCUUUCCUCUCCAUUCGGAUCCUUUUUCCUCUUCUUCCUCGUAGAUUAGACACUCAGUAACUCUUGGUAAGUAUCUGAUGUUAAUAGCUCACUUAUCUCCAUAAUGCCCUUGUUUUGUAACAAGACUAGAUUCAUGUUGUCAUCUGUUGUUUAAAAAAACUCCAGGGUUUGAAUCCAUGUACUUCCUCGUUUGUUUGUUUCCUCGAGCCUCCCAAACACCUUAUGUCCCCUACGAUUCUAUUUCAAAAUCAUUUAUUUACCUAAAUAUUGGAAAGUGUCAAUUUGUUAAUGUCAAAACAAAAAAAAAAUUAACGUUACAAAUACGAAGAUUUAUCAAAGACGGAUUAUAAUUUAAUAAUAAUUUUAACUUCUGCGAAUGAACAUGCAUUUGGGGCCCAUGCAGGAAUACAGAGUCUCUACGAGUAUCAAACAAGGGAUUCAAACCUUUGCUUUCACUCAGACGUUCACGAGCAGUUCGGACAAAGCGGUGUUUCUGAUGCUGAGUCAUGUUGUACCUCGGAGCUGGAACGUCUGAAGAAGUCGGGAAUAGGUUCUUAGCUUU
ensembl:lncRNA